GGGUGGUCUUUGUUUUUCAAGAUAUGUUCGUCAAUCUCUCUCCACAAAAAUGUUAAGCUCUUUUUUUCUAUCUUUGUUGUUUUCAGAUUUUAGAUUCUUCAAAUCGAAACCUUCUCCGAAGGUAUGUGUCCUCAAUCUUUUUCUUAUGUUUGAUCUUCUGAUUUAUUUUUUUAAUAAUAUGAUGGUCUUUUCAUUAUAAAUUUGCUCUUAUAAUUUUGACCUUUCAUCUUAUGUAGUUGCAGAUUUUACAGUCUAUUGAUAUGUGGUCCAAUCUCAUUAACC